UGAAAUAAAGUAGAAUUGGAAAAUUGGGUUGUUGAUUAACCUUGGUUAACCACUACCCAUAAAUCCAUAAUUAUUGUUGACGCCAAUUCGAAGAUUCUUUUCCUUCCAAAUGCUCCAUGAGAAAGUGUUGCUAGGAUUUACAAAUGGAGCUCCCAUAUCUUGUAGUUUGGUGUCGGUUUAUUUAUUUUAUUUAUUUCAACUUGUAAAGUUUCCUCCGUCUUUUGAUUAAAAUUAUUUUUACAAACAAAUUUUCAAAUCAAAACAGUUUUUCAUAAUUGAGAUCAAAAUUUAUGUUUGAAAUUAUCUUGAUUCAUUUUAGAUUUUUCGUUUACAAUAAAUUUCAGAACCUGUAGGUUGACGAUUGAAUUUUAGGUGUAGAAAUUUUCAAACUAUAACGAUUUUCAGACGAUAGCAAUUUCGAGAGGAGGUCGAUUUUCCAUAUGAUAGCGAUUUUGAAAAUAAAAUCAUAUUAUUGCGAUGAGGUUUGUCGAAUUUAUUACGAGGUUGUCAAAUUUGCAGAGCAAGACGAGGGUAUUGAAUUUGCGAUGAGAUUGUUGAUUUUUAAGGAAUGAGUUGAUCGGAGAUCUAAAUCUAUAUUGGAGUAUUUUUUUACUUUUGCAUUUACUAAUUUAAUAAGGU
rnacentral:lncRNA from 1 species